GUGGAUAAUCUAUAUAUUAUUAGUGAACAAAGCUCAUGGAAUGGAAUCUCUUCAAAGAAGAAAAAUGAUUUCUCUUCAUCAGAUCAUAGACAGAACAUCUUAUGUGUCCUACAGAUGUUUAGAAAACAAUUUUUUUCACGGUUUCAAAAUUAUCAUGAAAGAAUAAUCCCAUGUCAUUGUGUGUACUGGUGACAUGAAGUGACUUUUUCAGGGCUGUAUUUGAAGUAAACAUGAAAGAGAUGAUGGCAGUGGUACUGUUACUGACUUGUCCUCCAAAGCAGUAGGGACAUCUCUAGAUUAUGCCUGUUCUGGAAAACAAGAAUAACAGAUGCUAACAUGGCGAUGUUCUUCCAGUUGUCAUCGUUUCUUCAGGUUCCUUUCCUGUCUGGAGCUCACAGUGACUUUGUAACAAAAAGCACCAAU
rnacentral:lncRNA from 1 species